rfam:Poecilia formosa, whole genome shotgun sequence.
GUUUCUGUAGUGUAGUGGUUAUCAUGUUUGCUUCACAUGCAAAAGGUCUCUGGUUUGAAACCAGACAGGAAACA